rnacentral:rRNA from 1 species
UACGGGGGGGAGCAAGCGUUGUUCGGAUUUACUGGGCGUAAAGGGCGCAGUAGGCGGUCAGCACAAGUCAGUUGUGAAAUCUCCGGGCUUAACUCGGAAAGGUCAACUGAUACUGUGCGACUAGAGUGCGGAAGGGGCAACUGGAAUUCUCGGUGUAGCGGUGAAAUGCGUAGAUAUCGAGAGGAACACCUGCGGCGAAGGCGGGUUGCUGGGCCGACACUGACGCUGAUGCGCGAAAGCCAGGGGAGCGAACGGG